rnacentral:rRNA from 1 species
CUGGAGUUCUACGGUCUCCAAUUACACAAUCUCACCCCUGCCUCCAUUCUACAUAUCGCCGGCUAUGUUGCUCUCUGCGAGUUGUUCCUGGGCUGCGAGGCUCACUUCGAGCUGUGGAAAAGGCUAUUCUGCCUUGUCCCUCGCACAGAGAGGGAAUCACUUUAUCAAGUGGGCGGAGCCAAAAUAUGGCGCAUCACCGAUACCGGAUACCUGUCCGGUACCCCGAAGAAGCCGUCCGAAGACUGGCCUUCAGAAUGGUUUUAUAUGGAGGACGUCCCCCUUCCGGACCCUGUUCGGCGGGGU